UUUUAGUCUAGGCAUUCCUUGGUGACCAGUUUGUAACCAAGGAAGUGACCAUGUUCCCGGUAUUCCCUAUGAUUUUUACACAAACCAGGGUAUAAAGAAGAAGAGAAGAGAGCCUUCACUCUUUUCCCUUCCAGUGGUUCUGAAGGUGCAGGUUCCCUGCUGUUGGUUCUCAUUAUGUGGUGGAGUGAGGCCUAGUGAGGCCUUGUAGACCUUGGGAGGCAGAGGGUACCGGUGGUCGUUCAGCACGAUUCUGCUGUCCCAAGGAAAGUAGUAAAAUAUUCUUUUGCUAAUUCUUUAUUCUGCUAGUUCCCGAGUUGUCGAUUGUGCAUAUCUCUUUUUGGGUUUUUUGUCCCUUUUUGCCCCUUUUUUUCUUUUUUCCUUUCUCCUUUCCCCUUUCUGGGAGCUGUUUAGGGUUUCUGUGGUUAUAUGUAUGUAGUAUUUUAAUUGUAUAUAUCUGUAAUAUAUGUUAUAUAUAUAUAUAUAGUGAUAUAGCUUUUUCUAUUCCAUUUUUUUUUCCUUUGGAGGUUUUUUUUCGCUGUGGUCUGUUGGGGUUUGGCAGGAGGUCAACUACAACCGACUACAGGUUCAAUGCCAGCAUCACUCUUCAGAGGUUAGGAGGACAAGAAUUGGCAAGAUUUGACCCCUUUCAAUUUACAAAUGUCUACAACCUCCUCUUAUAAGGGGUUUUUUGGAACUGCAGCACGCAGGGGUGAUGCAAUGACUACGACAACUACACCAAUAUAGGCAAAGAAUGAGAAAACCAGAGAAAGAGAGAUGGUGUGAGAAAGGGAGUAAGAAGUGAACAUGCAGGAGACCGAGAGAAUACAGCAGCAGAAACAGGGGAUUGAGUGAGGCAUUUGGCACAUAGUCAGAUAACUAGAAACAGGACAAGUUUUGUUAUCCCACCCGCUGUGAUGGACAAGGUUCCUGGCCCUGCUUUUCUUCUUCAGCUCAAUUCUGAAUCAUUUUACAUUCCAGAAAAGAUAGAUGAAGCCCAAAGUCAGGUUCAUCUCAAAUACACACUGAUACCUACCACAACAUCAGACAGAAUUAUUCAAUACAGAGUGGGCUUCCUACCUCAAAGUUGGGCAAUCACACCACUGAAGGAAACAACACAGAUGAGAGAAUCCAAAAUGCAUGUUUCACUAAGUAUUAAAGGCAGAAUAAGACUAAAAGCAAGUAAAGUGGAUGUUUGCCUAAAGAUACAGGUAGGAGGUGAACAGACUGAGUAAAAUUAGAGAUGAAAUCCUAACCCAUGAAAUAGACAACAUCAAGAUCUCUGAAAGAGAAAUUAGAACAGUGAAGGAAAAUCUGAGGUAAACCAGGGCUAUAAAAGAGUGGAAAGAAUAGAAGGAACUGCUUUAGGAAGUCACUGUACAGAGGUUGUAGAAUGUGUAACAGGAGCCUGUGGGAGUUGAUGGAUUGCCACUUCACAGCUGCUGAGAAAGAGGAAAUCUGGAGUCUAGCAUCAGAAAAGAUAUUGAACGGAAUCUCAAUGCCUGUGAUAGUUAUAGAUUUGGAAAUAUGAGACCAAGAGUGGAGACACAUCCAGUAUUAGCUGUAUUGGGUUGUACAGAAAGAACAGUGCUUGGCUUCUGAGGCAUCAACAUUAAAAACAGUAAUACAACACAAUGUAACUGAAAACCCAUGAGAGUUAUCUCUUUUACAUAAUGUGUCUGUUUUCUAGUGAAUUCUUUUGAUAGAUUUCCUUCAUUAGCAGUAAAAAAUAAAUAUUCAAGGAGAGAAGAA